GACGAACGCUGGCGGCGUGCUUAACACAUGCCAGUCGAACGGAAAGGCCCUGCUUUUGUGGGGUGCUCGAGUGGCGAACGGGUGAGUAACACGUGAGUAACCUGCCCUUGACUUUGGGAUAACUUCAGGAAACUGGGGCUAAUACCGGAUAGGAGCUCCUGCUGCAUGGUGGGGGUUGGAAAGUUUCGGCGGUUGGGGAUGGACUCGCGGCUUAUCAGCUUGUUGGUGGGGUAGUGGCUUACCAAGGCUUUGACGGGUAGCCGGCCUGGGAGGGUGACCGGCCACAUUGGGACUGAGAUACGGCCCAGACUCCUACGGGAGGCAGCAGGGGGGAAUAUUGCACAAUGGGCGGAAGCCUGAUGCAGCAACGCCGCGUGCGGGAAGACGGCCUUCGGGUUGUAAACCGCUUUCGCCUGUGACGAAGCGUGAGUGACGGUAAUGGGUAAAGAAGCACCGGCUAACUACGUG
rnacentral:rRNA from 1 species